rnacentral:rRNA from 1 species
CCGCUUGCGGUCUGUAUACAGGUGCUGCAUGGCUGUCGUCAGCUCGUGCUGUGAAGUGUUGGUAAGUCCCGCAACGAGCGCAACCCUAUCAUCUGUUGCCAGCAUUUAAGGUGGGGACUCAGAUGAGACUGCCGGUGACAAACCGGAGGAAGGUGGGGGACGACGUCAAGUCAUCAUGGCCCUUAUGUCCUGGGCUACACACGUGCUACAAUGGCCGGUACAGAGUGAAGCGAAACCGCGAGGUGAAGCAAAACGCAGAAAGCCGGUCUCAGUACGGAUUGGAGUCUGAAACUCGACUUCAUGAAGUUGGAAUCGCUAGUAAUCGCGCAUCAGCAUGGCGCGGUGAAUACGUUCCCGGGCCUU